CUCAUCCUCAUCACUAUCCUCCUCUGCAGCAUGACUCUUGACCCACCAGCCAUCCACUCUUACAAAUCCCAUCCUCCUAAGAGAGUGGUUGUUGUAGUUGUCAGUGUAUGACAGUCUACAAACAGCCUUUCCAUCAAAACUGACUCCAUCCUCUCUGAAGAUAACUGUGAGGGCCAUACCAUAGGGCAAGGGAGCCUUAGACCUGCUCAAGGCAUCUCUCAUAGCAUCAAACAUCAAAAAUAGAAGGUUCAGGAGAGAUUCUGAAACAAUAUGAUGCAUGAGAUAUAUGUCUCUCUCCGUCAUC
rnacentral:lncRNA from 1 species